CCUACGGGUGGCAGCAGUGGGGGAUAUUGCACAAUGGGGGGAACCCUGAUGCAGCGACGCCGCGUGGGUGAAGAAGCGCCUCGGCGCGUAAAGCCCUGUCAGCAGGGAAGAAAAUGACGGUACCUGAAGAAGAAGCCCCGGCGAACUACGUGCCAGCAGCCGCGGUAAUACGUAGGGGGCAAGCGUUAUCCGGAUUUACUGGGUGGAAAGGGGGCGCAGACGGCGAUGCAAGCAAGGAGUGAAAGCCCGGGGCCCAACCCCGGGACUGCUCUUGGAACUGCGUGGCUGGAGUGCAGGAGGGGCAGGCGGAAUUCCUGGUGUAGCGGUGAAAUGCGUAGAUAUCAGGAGGAACACCGGUGGCGAAGGCGGUCUGCUGGACUGCAACUGACGUUGAGGCCCGAAAGCGUGGGGAGCAAACAGGAUUAGAUACCCCAGUAGUC
rnacentral:rRNA from 1 species